rnacentral:lncRNA from 1 species
GAGAAGAUCCAAACAAAAAAAAUCCAACCUUCCAGUGUUAGCACGGCUUCAUUCAUCCCAUUCCCAUGGCUGCCGCUACUGCUACCGCCACUGUUGUUAUGCUCCAUGAUUCGUAGAGUUCCAGGAACCUCGGGGGAGUCCAAGCUAACGUGAACUCCAUUGAGGUUGGUCGUGGAAGCGGUGCUGUUUAGCUUCCUGUCUUGCUCGUCGAGCAGUAGUAACUUUGCAGUUGUCACAGCCUCCGCAGCCUCUACCUCGGCAGCACGGUCUCGGAGCGAAUCUUGUAGAUGCGAUUGCAGAUGUAGAUGUUGUCAGG